CGUCUCCCAUCCUUUACACGGCAUCUAACGAGCAAACAUAUUCACCGAAUAGAAUUGACAAGAGUAAUCAUUGGGUAACCCGCACUGCUCUGAGCAACAGCUUUGCCUCCUCGCUCCCCACCGCCGCACCGUUGCCGCCAAAUAGCGAGGGCUUCCCUCUCUCUGUUCAGCCUUUUCGCCACGUUGGUGCUCUCGCUCUGUCCACUUCCCCCACCGCCACACCUCUUCGGCUGCGUUUCUUCCUCUUUUCAUCCCAGCAGUGAGUGUUUUCAUUUUAAAUGUGGACACGUUCUUGACUGUGACGAGGUGGUCUGCCAACUUAGAGGUUGCGGAGUCUCUUUUUUGGUUUUGGGCUGUCUCUUCAUCGCAGAAUGGCUCACCGUCCCGAUGACUCGAAAUAUGCCCUGUUCUUUACAUGCGUACUGAGCCACCUCCCCAUGGUCGCCGUUGUGGCCUUUCUUGUGCGACGCGAUUUGCGCUUUGAGGGAGUGGUGGGGGCGUACUCCGUUACCGUUUCGUUUAUGUACCACACGUGCGAGUGCUUUGAGACGAGCCUUUUCAUGUCCGAAGGGCGCUGGCACCGACUCGACAACAUUGGCGCAAUCGUAUCUGUCGGGUGCUCCUGCAUCCAACUAGCCUGCUUCGAAAACCGUAUCCUUCUGGAGUACUUGCAGUACAUCAUCCUGUUCAUUGUCAUUAUCUUGCAGGAGGCCGCUCCUUGGGACGUCCGCUACACUAUUGUGCCCGUAGCCGUAUGCAUUGCUGUGCCAAUAGUGUCGCAUCUCCUGAAUCCCCGCCGUCGCCACGGGUUUGUUCUACCGCGCGUCCUCAAUGGUCUGGUAGCGCUAGUUCUCGGUGGCAUAUUUUUUGCCAUGGGACUUGAUGAAUCGAACGACCCCGUCCGGAUAUACCACGGAUUCUUUCACAUUUGCAUUACGAUCACGAUUUUCUUUUUCUUUUACGCCCUGCGCCCCUCAGCGGAGCGGAAGCGGAGAUCGUUGCACUUGCCAAGCUGCGAUGACGCGGUUGGCGUCAUGGUGAACCUUUGAAGUGCCCGGUCCGCACCAGCGGCUGGCGGUAAUGACCCAGGAAAUGCUCGGUGAAACGUUGGGCGUUGUGUCGCGGACUUGAGGGUAGUACCGCUGUCUGAGCACCUUAGUGAAUACAGUCGUCUUGAUUGGCUUUCAACAAGCAGAUAAGGCUCCUAGAGGUGACACACAUAGGCACACACGCCAACACGCAAAAGAAAACAAUGUAUCAUGAUGCGGAAGUUUCCCUUGGAGAGAAAGGCCACCCCUGCUCUCCCAUGACUAGCUACUGUUGGCUUUCCUUGCCACACUACCGUAUACGCCGCCGUCCUUCCCCUCCUUCCCCAUGUACUAUUCCCCGCACCGUCUCCUCCUGGCCAUGCAGUAAAGCAAACCAAGGAAACGUAGGUUGUGUUCAAGGUGGCAAGUACGCGAUAUGGCAGUGUGCGCAUCGGCAUUGGC
rnacentral:misc_RNA from 1 species